CUUUGUCGGCUAUUGCACUCUAAAGAAUUUGCAACUACACUCAAAGCUUAAUUAUAAUCAUUGUUACAUUUGUAAUUUACGAGGAAAUGAAACAUAUUUUUUUAAGAAGAUGUCUUCAUUAUCUCCUUAAAUGAAUGCAAUGCAACAUCAAAUAUACAAAUGGCAUGACAUCGCAACCAUAAUCUUUUAAAUUUGAUUCGUUAAUGGAUAUUUUGGUGAGUCAAUAGCUAGAGACAAAGUUAAAGAAAGAUAUAAAUGGGAAUAGACAGAUUAAUGAUGGUCCCUCACUCUUGUGGUCUCUGCAUCGCAUACGCGGCUGGAUCUUAAUUUCGCAAUAGGAAACAUAGUGACAUUCACACCACACUCAGCACCACGUUUAGUACAAUGAGGGCCUCUCUGCUAUAUUUACUAAAACUUCCUGAGAAAAAGUAAAAAGAUUUAAAUGUCUCCUAUUCACCCCUAAACUACUUGAAUUUAGAUUCCAAUAAUUGGGAAUCGUUUUUAAGGAUUUCUCGUGUUAUUACUAAUUUAGAUCUAUUGAGCUGCGAACAAUGAAAAGUAAAUAAUACCAAAGAUUUACUAUUUACAAUAUUGCUAAUUAUAACUUCUUCUAAAUUACUCAUUUAGGAGUGUUGUUUUCUCUAUUUCCUAUAUUUUAUCCUUCGGUAAAUGCUACUUCUAUUCCUUUAUCUACUAUACUUCUUAAUUUAAUAUUAUGAUUUAUUUGACUUUUUAAUAUGGCCAGUUUUCCUAAAUUAUCAGCUUGUUUAAUGUAUUCACUAAAUACUUUAGCAGAAUAAUUUUGUAAAGUAAAACAAGUAUAAUUAUCUAACAGCAUGCAAGUUAGGUUAUUUAAAAAUCUUAUAAACAAUUGUUCUUCUCUACUGGAUACUCCCAUUCUUUUGCAAAUUUAUGUCAAACUAAUUGAAAAAUCAAGUGUUUUGUUGCAAAUACUAACCAAAUUCGUAUCCUUUUUAAGAAUAUUUCCAAAAAUUGUUUUCCAAAAGUUCAAAAUAUAAAAUCAGACCUUUUAAUUAAAUUCAAUUUUUUUAAUAAAAAAAACUUCUUUCUCUUAGGGGUAUGGAAAUCCCAACACAAAACCUCCAUUCUUCCCUAAAACACCUAUCUUUAGGCUAAAACAAUACUUACGAGUAAAACUGGGCACUUACAGAUCCUUCUUCAAGGCUUUUGGUUUUUCUAGAAACCUAAGUUUUGUUUAGACUCUAAUUUUAUUCUUCACAAAUAAAAAAAAUUUGUAUCAGCAAAUAAAAAGAUACUUGAUUUAUAAUGAAAGAUCUGCAACAUAUAAAGUCGUUCAUUUAGAAACACAUAGAAGUUUACAAAAGACUGAGUUUCUCUAUUGAAAAAGAACUAAACAACUUAGUUACAGUAGAUUAUGCUGAAUAAAUUAACUUACUUGAAAUAUCUUCUAGUAAUUGAACAAGAACUUAAGAGCUUUAUAGAUUGAAAUUUGUUACAAAAUUUUUUUAUAUUUUUUAUCUGAUUUCUUCUCUUUU
rnacentral:lncRNA from 1 species